CGCUGGCGGCGUGCCUAACACAUGCAAGUCGAGCGAUUUACUUCGGUAAAGAGCGGCGGACGGGUGAGUAACGCGUGGGUAACCUGCCCUAUACACACGGAUAACAUACCGAAAGGUAUGCUAAUACGAGAUAACAUAAGUAAUUCGCAUGGAUUUCUUAUCAAAGCUUUUGCGGUAUAGGAUGGACCCGCGUCUGAUUAGCUAGUUGGUAAGGUAACGGCUUACCAAGGCGACGAUCAGUAGCCGACCUGAGAGGGUGAUCGGCCACAUUGGAACUGAGACACGGUCCAAACUCCUACGGGAGGCAGCAGUGGGGAAUAUUGCACAAUGGGCGAAAGCCUGAUGCAGCAACGCCGCGUGAGCGAUGAAGGCCUUCGGGUCGUAAAGCUCUGUCCUCAAGGAAGAUAAUGACGGUACUUGAGGAGGAAGCCCCGGCUAACUACGUGCCAGCAGCCGCGGUAAUACGUAGGGGGCUAGCGUUAUCCGGAAUUACUGGGCGUAAAGGGUGCGUAGGUGGUUUCUUAAGUCAGAGGUGAAAGGCUACGGCUCAACCGUAGUAAGCCUUUGAAACUGAGAAACUUGAGUGCAGGAGAGGAGAGUAGAAUUCCUAGUGUAGCGGUGAAAUGCGUAGAUAUUAGGAGGAAUACCAGUUGCGAAGGCGGCUCUCUGGACUGUAACUGACACUGAGGCACGAAAGCGUGGGGAGCAAACAGGAUUAGAUACCCUGGUAGUCCACGCCGUAAACGAUGAGUACUAGCUGUCGGAGGUUACCCCCUUCGGUGGCGCAGCUAACGCAUUAAGUACUCCGCCUGGGAAGUACGCUCGCAAGAGUGAAACUCAAAGGAAUCGACGGGGACCCGCACAAGUAGCGGAGCAUGUGGUUUAAUUCGAAGCAACGCGAAGAACCUUACCUAAGCUUGACAUCCUUCUGACCUCUCCCUAAUCGGAGAUUUCCCUUCGGGGACAGAAGUGACAGGUGGUGCAUGGUUGUCGUCAGCUCGUGUCGUGAGAUGUUGGGUUAAGUCCCGCAACGAGCGCAACCCUUGCCUUUAGUUGCCAGCAUUAAGUUGGGCACUCUAGAGGGACUGCCAGGGAUAACCUGGAGGAAGGUGGGGAUGACGUCAAAUCAUCAUGCCCCUUAUGCUUAGGGCUACACACGUGCUACAAUGGGUGGUACAGAGGGCAGCCAAGUCGUGAGGCGGAGCUAAUCCCUUAAAGCCAUUCUCAGUUCGGAUUGUAGGCUGAAACUCGCCUACAUGAAGCUGGAGUUACUAGUAAUCGCAGAUCAGAAUGCUGCGGUGAAUGCGUUCUCGGGUCUUGUACACACCGCCCGUCACACCACGGGAGUUGGGGGCGCCCGAAGCCACUUAGCUAACCCUUUGGGAAGCGAGUGUCGAAGGUGAAAUCAAUAACUGGGG
rnacentral:rRNA from 1 species